rnacentral:rRNA from 1 species
CUCCAGACUCCUACGGGAGGCAGCAGUGGGGGAUAUUGCACAAUGGGGGAAACCCUGAUGCAGCGACGCCGCGUGAGUGAAGAAGUAAUUCGUUACGUAAAGCUCUAUCAGCAGGGAAGAAAAUGACGGUACCUGACUAAGAAGCCCCGGCUAACUACGUGCCAGCAGCCGCGGUAAUACGUAGGGGGCAAGCGUUAUCCGGAUUUACUGGGUGUAAAGGGGGCGCAGACGGCAGCGCAAGCCAGGAGUGAAAGCCCGGGGCCCAACCCCGGGACUGCUCUUGGAACUGCGCGGCUGGAGUGCAGGAGGGGCAGGCGGAAUUCCUGGUGUAGCGGUGAAAUGCGUAGAUAUCAGGAGGAACACCGGUGGCGAAGGCGGCCUGCUGGACUGCGACUGACGUUGAGGCCCGAAAGCGUGGGGAGCAAACAGGAUUAGAUACCCCUGUACG